GUAAAUUUCUGGCUAGUCUGUAAAUUGCAAGCAUUCUCUUUGGGGCUUACAUGUCUACUUCCCUUAGCUGGGAUCAGCGACUUCUCUUGGGCCUUUCCUCCAGCAGGCUGGGUCCCCUCUCUGUACAGAAGUUAAAAGGAUGUUGUCAAGCACAGAAAGGCUGUAGCUCAGGAAUUUGGACAGAGCAAAACAGAAAUGGCUCGUCUCUGCUCCAUGAAGGCUGGUCCUCAACUGGGAAGACUCAAUGAACAAGUGGGAACUUCACAAUUGAGGGCUGGCAUCACCUGGACAGUUCGAGUUCUGUCAGAAAACGUCUCGUUCCUGUUCCUGGAUGAACUAAAGACUCUGCCUGGAAAAGAACUAAGCUGCAAUAUACACACACCUGACUGCACAGCUGCUGAAGAGGAGAACUUCUGUUUAAUCUGUUUUAAAUAAUAGACAGGUGGAGUCUUACUCUGUAAUCCAGGCUGGAGUGCAAUGAUGUGAUCUCAGCUCACUGCAACCUCUACCUCCCAGGUUCAAGCAAUUCUCCUGCCUCAGUCUCCCAAGUAGAUGGAAUUACAGGUGUGUGCCACCACAACCGGCUAAUUUUUUUUAUUUUUAGUAGAGGUGGGGUUUCACUAUGUUGGCCAGGCUGGUUUCGAACUCCUGACCUCAUGUGAUCCACCCGCCUCAGCCUCCCAAAGUGCUGGGAUUACAGGCGUGAGCCACUGCGCCCGGCCUAGUAAGCCCUUUUAAAGAACAGAACUGAAGUCUAUAUAUGUGUGUAUAUAUUUUAAAAUUACAUUAUUAGUUCAUAUUUACAUUUCCAAUCGAAAUUUUAGGAUUAUAAAGUUUUAAUGUAUUUAUUUGAUUCUAUCUUUUUUUUUCUCAAGUGAAAAAUCCUGGUUCCUAACAGCAUGCACAUAAUUAUUUACUUGAUUUCUCUUAUAUAUUAUAUAACAGCUUGGCCAGGCAUGAUGGCUCAUUCCUGUAAUCACAGCACUUUAGGAGGCCAAGGCAGGAGGAUCACUUGAGCCCAGGAGUUCGAGACCAGCCUGGGCAACAUAGCAAAACCCUGUCUCUAUUUUAACAAAGUAAUAGUUUCAGAAUAGCAAUGUCAAUAGUAUUAGUAGAAAUUUGAAUGCUAAAAAAACAGUUUAAGACUUUCUGCUUGUUUGAUUUUAUGGUACAUACUACCAGGGAUGUAACCUCAGAUUACUGUAUUUUAAAGUUAAUUAAAAUACUUCCUCCGUCUGAGCUUAUGCCACCAACUCGUGGAACAGUUAGGUUUAUUCGUUUCAUUUUGCCUUGCUUUAUAAAGAUAGCUUUUAAAAGCAAUUGUGUUAUAAUUGUUUAUAGUAGUACUGUAUCGUGUAACAACUACAUUCUAUAGGGUCACCCUUGUAUCCAUCAUGUAAUGAUUGUUAUACAGGUAAAUAUAUAUAUUCAACGCCCACCUGAUCCUUAUGCCAAUUCCUCUUCGGUCAUUUGUUUGUCUUUUUCUAGUAGGUUCCUUAGGAAGGGCACAGAGAACAAUACUCCAUGAGUUCUGGCAUAUUCUUAACAGUUUGUGCAUGACUUUAAACUUGACUGGGUAUAAAAUUCUUGCCUACAUUUUCUUUUCUUUUUUUUUUUUUUUUUUUGGAAGGGAGCUUUGCUCUUGUUGCCCUGGCUGGAGUGCAGUGGUGUGAUCUCAGCUCUCUGCAACCUCCGCCUCCUGGGUUCAAGCGAUUCUCCUGCCUCGGCCUUCCGAGUAGUGGGAUUACAGGUGCGCGCCACCAUGCCUGGCUAAUUUUUUGUAUUUUUAGUUGGGACCGGGUUUCACCAUGUUGGCCAGGCUGGUCUCAAACUCCUGACCUCAGGUGAUCUGCCCGCCUUGGACCCCCAAAGUGCUAGGAUUACAGACGCGAGCCACCGCGCCCGGCCUUGACUACAUUUUCUUAACUGUUUGUAAUAUACUUUAUUCCAUUGCCCUAUGGUAUAAAAUGUUGCUGUUGAGAAAUCUGUCCGUCUUAGUCUCUUUCCCUAAUGAGUGGCUUGGUUGUUUCACUUUGAUGUCUAAAGAUUUCAUUUGGUUUUUCCCUUUUCUUUCAGUUCAAUAAAUUUACUUUAAAAAAAAGUCUCAUUUUGGCCACUAUCAAUGGAUUUUCCGAGGUACCUCAUGUGCCCGUUAAAGAUGUGGAUUCAGAUCUACUUGAUAUCAGUAACAUUUUUCUGAACUAUAGCUCCAGUUUGCAUUCAUUCCCCUUGCUUUGAGUUUCUUCUUUUGAGACUCUUAUUACAUGUAUGCUAAUAUAUAAGUAAUAAUCUAUUACUCCCUCUCCAAACCAUUUUCAAAAAUUUUAAAAAAUAUGUUUUUUAUUUUUGUAGAGACAGAAUCUUGCUAUGUUGCCCAGGCUGGUGUUGAACUGCUGGCCUCAACCAAUCCUCCUGCCUCGGCCUCUCAAAGUGCUGGGAUUACAGGUGUGAGGCACCACACCUGGCUUCUCCAGCCCUUAUCUUUUUUUAAAAUUUUGUUUUAAUUUCUUAUUUUCCUCUCAUUCUAUUUUCUCUUUUUUUCUUAUGAUGUUUAUUUGUCCUUAAGCUCAUCCUACUUUGGUCUUCAUUUCUGAAAUUAUUUUUUCUUUUACUCCUAGUUCUUUUUAAAAUUCUCUUAGCUCACAUUUCAAACUUUUCUUUUGUCCAAUCAUCUCAUUUUCUUUUUUUUUCCUCUUUUAAAAUAUUUUGAGACAGGGUCUCACUGUGUCACUCAGGCUGGAGUGCAGUGGUGCAAUCAUAGCUCAUUACAGCCUUGACCUCCUGGACUCCAGCGAUCCUCCCACUUCAGCCUCCUAAGUAGCCAGGAUUACGGUAGCACACCAUCAUGCCUGGCUAAUUUUAUUUUUUGUUUUUUGUAGAGACAGGGUCUUGCUAUGUUACCUAGGCUGGUUUUGGACUUUUAGUCUCAAGCAGUCCUGCUGUCUCAGCCUCCCUAAAUGCUAAGAUUACAGGCUCAUUUUCUAAUUCUGAUUUAUGGCAUUCUUCCAUAGCUACAAUCAUU
rnacentral:lncRNA from 10 species